rnacentral:rRNA from 1 species
CCUACGGGUGGCAGCAGUGGGGAAUAUUGGGCAAUGGAGGCAACUCUGACCCAGCAACGCCGCGUGAAUGAUGAAGGUCUUCGGAUUGUAAAGUUCUGUGAUGGGGGAUGAACACAAUGACGGUACCCCAAUAGCAAGCCACGGCUAACUACGUGCCAGCAGCCGCGGUAAUACGUAGGUGGCAAGCGUUAUCCGGAAUGACUGGGCGUAAAGGGUGCGUAGGGGGUUUAGAAAGUUGGCGGUGUAAUUUCGGGGCUCAACCUCGGCGCUACCGCCAAAACUAUUAGACUAGAGUGCAGGGAGGGUAGGUGGAAGUCAUGGUGUAGCGGUGGAAUGCGUAGAUAUUAGGAGGAACAUCAGGGGCGAAGGCGACUUACUGGACUGUAACUGACGCUGAGGCACGAAAGUGUGGGGAGCAAACAGGAUUAGAUACCCUUGUAGUC